CUGGUCCCAUGGCAGCUGACACCAAGCACAUGAGAUGCAGAAGAACAGAGAUUUGCUACCCCAGGAUGCUGUAGUUUUGGACACAUUUCUCUUGUUCACAAACGAUUUCUGCAGUUACGAGCAGGUGGCAUCUUGAAGCUUGACAAAGGAGAGUUCCCCGGGUUUUUUCCGAACUGUGACCCAGGGGCCGUGUCCGGAAGGAAGCAGCUCCGUCCGUUUCCAUCGGAGGCAAUUUCCACUUCCCACCAGAAAUGGAGCUUUCGAGAGUGUUGAUUCUUGGUGUGGAAUCACAAGACUGGUGUGCUGGAAGAGCAGAGGAAACCAAGGCAGCAGCAAAGCUACAUCUGUGAUGAGUGGAGCAGUCCCUGCAGACCUGUGUUGACAUUUGCUGUGUGUUCUGAGGUGCCAGACAGCCGUGUGCCACAGGGACCAUCUCCCCACAGCAGGGAAGGAAGUCACAUUCCAAGUCUGACUGCACUUUCCCUUGGAGUCCCUUUCUGUGCCUCAUUUAUUUACCUGUAAGUGAGGGAUUUUGUUUGCUUUUCACAGCUUUGUCUCUUUCCUGUUUAACUUGGGGAUCUUUGGACCAGAGAGAUGUGUUUAUUAAAGGCCUGGAUGCUGCUGAAUGGCUCUAAUGGGGAUAAUUCAAACAUUUACGGAUUUCCAUAAACAUUCUAAAAGCUGUUAUCUUUACAUUUCUCAAUAGAUGCUGCUGACUUACAUUAUGAUUAAAGUAUGGUUUGAGAUAAUUGGUUAUUCAAAAUACUAAAUAAAUCCACAGUUAAUCACAUCUUCUGGUAAAGCCAAGAAUGGUUAUAGAGUUAAGAAAAAAACUAGACUAAACAACCCUCAGCACCACUUUUCUGAUGAAUUACUAGACAGAACUGAUACUAAAAAGAGGAAACCAUUCUCUACACAGCAUAUUGCACAAAGCAUCCUCCCAGCUGAUAUCUAAGGAUCUCUGGUGAGGGGAAUCUGGGGUCUGCUGCUGGCUUUGAUUUCUGGGGCGAAGAACUCCAUAGGACAAGGGCAGUGUGAGAAGUUCUGCAUCCACACAAAUGGACAUCUUGAAUUCAUUUCUUUUGGAGGCUGUUGCCAAAAGAACUCCUGAUCUGGCCUAUGGACAUUGUGCAGACAGUAGCAGCUUUGUUUAAAUCAAACCUUCCAGGUCUGAUUGUGCAGAUUAGUUGCAAAGAGACACUUCCUGGCCAGGCCCAGACUGCUGUGCAGUGUGGGUUCCACUACAGCACCAGGUGUUAGGCCACAGCAGGUCAUUUCUGAUAUGAGGUGGCUCAAGCCUUUAUCUCAACAGGGUCACAUCAGUAGAUGCAAUACUUGUCUUGGCUGAAUGCCUUUCUGGCAGCUCUUCUCCAAACACAAGCCCGUAGGCAGGUCAGUCCCCUGCCAGCUUCCCUCCUGUCUCAUGAGCCAGUGGACAUAGUAAAUAAACCUUGUGUUGCCAGA